CAUGCAAGUCGAACGGCAGCACAGUAAGAGCUUGCUCUUAUGGGUGGCGAGUGGCGGACGGGUGAGGAAUACAUCGGAAUCUACCUUUUCGUGGGGGAUAACGUAGGGAAACUUACCCUAUUCCCGCAUACGACCUUCGGGUGAAAGCAGGGGACCUUCGGGCCUUGCGCGGAUAGAUGACCCAUUAUCUGAUUAGCUAGUUGGCGGCGUAAAGGCCCACCAAGGCGACGAUCCGUAGCUGGUAUGAUCGGUUGAUCUGGAACUGUGACACUGACACAACUCCCACACUCCGACGGGAGGCGGAAUUGUGGAAUAUGGGACAAUGCCCGCUAGCCUGAUCCAGCCUGACCGARUGAGGGAAGAAGGCCUUCGGGUUGUAAAGCCCUUUUGUUGGGAAAGAAAAGCAGUCGAUUAAUACUUCGGUUGUUCUGACGGUACCCAAAGAAUAAGCACCGGCUAACUUCGUGCCAGCAGCCGCGGUAAUACGAAGGGUGCAAGCGUUACUCGGAAUUACUGGGCGUAAAGCGUGCGUAGGUGGUUGUUUAAGUCUGUUGUGAAAGCCCUGGGCUCAACCUGGGAAUUGCAGUGGAUACUGGGCGACURGAGUGUGKKWGAGGAUAAUGRAAUUCCCGGUGUACCUGUGAAAUGCAUAUAGAUCGAGAGGAACAUCAUGGCGAAGGCAGCUACCUGGACCAACACUGACACUGAGGCACGAAAGCACGACGCGUGRGGAGGAAACAGGAUUAGAUACCCUGGUAGUCCACGCCCUAAACGAUGCGAUCUAGUAUGUGGGGUGCAAUUUGGCACGCAGUAUCGAAGCUAACGCGUUAAGUUCGCCGCCUGGGGAGUACGG
rnacentral:rRNA from 1 species